AUCUCAGCUUUUUUCUACUCUUUUUCUGUUCUUCAAUCUUUUAAAUUUUAAAAAUUUUGUGGUUGCUUAUGGCGUUAACUCUACUGUCCUUGUGAUUUUUAGUAGAUUCUACUUCAUUCUCCUUCUUUCUUUGUUGCACCCAUUUCUUGGUGAUGUGAUGUUGAUAGAUCCAAUUUGAUUUUCUUCAUAUCUUAGAUUUUUCGCUCUCUGCAAUUUUCCUCUUGCUUAGCUACUUUAAGAGAUUUGAGUUUUCUCCUAUUUUUUAUUUUUUUUAAUUUCAUGGAUUCUGUCUCUUUCUAAUUUUAUCACUUGCUUGAUACUAAUGUUCCAGCCUCUGUUGUGUUUGUUUUUACAUUCUUUUGAAUAGUUUCUUGCUAGAUCUACAUACAUGUCAGAAGUUCUAUCUAAUUUUCAUAUGCAUGCUUGGAAAUAAAUACUUAGGUGCGUGUUUUUUGUUUCUAAUUUUGGUUGUGUAACGGUGUUUUUGUGUGCAAAUUUUAUUAUUUGAAGUUGCCUAUUUAAGGUGAAUUCAAAAAGUUUAUUUUUCUGAUUUUCUUUAGAUUUGAUUUCUUGGUUCUUAAAAAAGUGGAUCUAAAGUAGUGAGAUACUUCUGCUCUCCAGUUUUUGUUCUCUCUCUUAUGAGUUUUGUGUAAUAUGUGAUUCCUAUAAAUACCUCUCACCAUUACCAUACAGUUGUAGAGGUAUGCACAUAAGGUGUUUGAUAAGGAAAUCUUUUGCGAGGCACUAUUUGGUUCUUAAACUCUUCAUUAUUUCAAUGUAUUUCAUGCAUUGCAACAGACAUGGGGUGGUCUUCUGUUUUGAAACCAUGACAAGCAUAAACCAAUGACCUGAUCGAGAAAAAAGUCAUUGGCGAAUUUGAGAGGAGCUGACUCGAUGAACAGGAAAACUACUAUCAAUUGAUAGGAAUCAUCAUGCAUAAUCAAUAAACCAUGGUAAACAUCAAAAUGUGCAUAUCUCAUGAUGCACUAUGCUAUUCUGGAAAAGAUCUAUUAUUGGGCUCAAUUCAUGAUUGAUACAAAUAGGAGUUCAUUCUUUUGAAUGUGGCAAUGAUGCUGGUCAUGGCUAUUUAACUGAUGCACAAAGCGUUAUAAUUUUUUUUAAAGUUAUUGUAGCUACAUAUAGUGAAUAUGAUAUCAAAGUCAUUUGUUUCAAGGGUUGGGCACUUGGGCAUGUCACACAACAAAAUGAUGAAGGAAUUUGCAUUGGAGGUUUGAGAAGAAUGCAAGUCGAUAUUAUUCUUACUUUCUUUUUUCCUGGUAUUUGUUUCUUCUUUUCAUUUUUGUUUUGGUACUGCUUCAUGUUGUGUGGAGUAUUUUGUAACUAUGAACAAAUUAUUCCUUUCUUCAAAGUUAUGUGAAAUAUGUCUUGAAUCAUCAGAUCCACACUCCAAAGAAGAAUGUGAAGAAGGAAAAAGAAAAUUUACUAACUUGCUAAACCAUAUAUAAUGACGCAUUGUAAACUUCUGUUAUGUUCUUUUCUAUGUGUCUAUGUGAUCUUUGGUGACAUUUAGGGAAAACAUGAUUACUAUAAGAGCACAAACUAACUCAUAUUUUGUUGGUUAGUCUUAUUGAGCAAGAAAUUCGUUUAUACCUAUUUGUACUUUGAAGUUGUACUCCACAUUCUUUAGUAUAAUCAUGUUUAUUAGAUGUGGGUAUAUUUUUCACCAUACAUUUGUGUUUAUAUAUCUAUCAGUUUCUUGCUUGGAAUUAAAGUUUAGUUGAUGUUAUAGUAUAAAAGUAUAAGGAGAUUUAAGAAAUCAUGCUCAAUAUAUAGAGUAGUAAAUAGUUACAACAAUAUUAUGGUUCAACUUUCUGUACUACAGAAUUAAGUGAUUGGCUUAACGAGUUUUGUCAAAGGCGAAAAGCUCUAAAAAACAUUCCAUACGUAUUGGGGCUUUAAGCGCAAAACGCAAUUGAAGUGUGGGUUUUAGUAAAAAAAAAAGGUGGAAUAAAGGAAAAAAAUAAAAAUAUAUAUGUAAUUUAGGGAAAAAGUAAGUCUUUUCCUUAAUAACUAAUAUACUUAUUUGCCAAUUAUAUUUGUUGUUUAGUACCGUUCCAUUCAAAAUAGAAUUCAUGGGCAAUGAGUGUUCACGCCUUAGUGCUUUGCAUACACUAGAGCACAACUUAAGCGAGAGGAAGCACCAUCCGUGAGCGUUUUUGAGCUUCAGGGCUAAAGCGUGCCCCUUUGACAACACCGGGCUUAACCACAACAUCUUGGUGGUAAAUUGAAUUCAGAGUUUAUUUGUGCCGCAGAGUUAUGCGAUUUCAUGUGUUUUAUCUACCUUUUGGAUAAUUAGUGUUAGAAUAUUAUUAUUAAUCUUUAUAUUAUGUGAUGUAUGAAUUCAUAUUCAUGUUGUGGUAUCGUGUCAAUUGUCAAUAGCUUCUCCUAAAAUGCGAAGUCUACCUUUUGAUCUAUAUAAUGAAUGGCCUCGAUCUUCUGUUGGAAGGUAAUAUCUCUAUUUCUACGCAAUAACUCUUAUUUCAUUGCUAAAAUAUGUAUUUUUGGUAGUUAAGUGUUGAUGAUAAUAGUGAAGAUAUAUUAAUGAGAUGGCUCAUUAAUACUUGUGGAACAUGAUUGUAUUUGAUGGUCAUAAUUGAAUACCCAUGCAAAGUUCAUGCUACUUCUCAACAGACAAGCAGUUGAUCAGAUGUGCUUAAUCCACCGAUUUAUUGUUUGAGAAAUUUGAGAAGCCUAAAAUAUCAGGUUGGUAAUUUGAAGGCAACCGAUUCUUUAUGUUUUCUCCCUCGAUUGAAACUGUCUAAAAGGCUAUUAUUAUUGAACCAUGCACUUUACGCAUCAAUCCAGAUAAAAAAUAUGCUCGCUUUGCACUUGAAAUAUGUCAGCAAGCUGCGACUCUCAGGAUUAUCAUGAUAAGAAGUUGCUAUUGCUUCCCCAAAUCUAUCAUCAGGUUGAUUACAUCAGAUUUAGAAUAUUCUGAAGAUGCAGUUGGAAACCAAGUGGAUUAAGGGUAACCAAAGUAUGUCAAAUGCCUUGAUAGUUGUUGCUUCAACAUUUGCUGACCGAUUAGCACAACUGUAGAAGACUAAUCUUUACUAGCGAUCUUAGAACCUUAAAGUGUCUACACUCAGAAGUUACAUCGCCCGAUCGCUCUUAAAGAUCUACUUAUUGCUAGCACUCCAAUGUACGGAGAUUGAAGAGUUGCAGAAUAAAAUUAUUGAAUUAUUUCAAGCUCUCGUUUUUGAAGAGAGAGGAUAAUUAACAUAUCAUUUGUAGCAGACAUAUAAUGUACAACAAGUAAAUGUCGAUAUCGCAUUAAUUUAAAUAUUUCUGUUGAUGCAAUGCCACUAUUUCGCUA